rnacentral:misc_RNA from 1 species
UCAACCAUCAAGCCUGGCUUGUUAUUGGGUCUUUUAUCGUUUAAGACGAUAGGCCCGAAAGAUAAUGGCGGUGUCAAGAUUGACCCCAAGUGCGAUGAGCUUUUUAGCAUGCGCUGAGGUGGUCAUCUUUGGCCUGGCCUAGUUAAAUCUUUUAACUAUAA